GUGACGUCACCGAUUGAAAGGCUGUUAGCGCGCACCACCGCUAACUAGAUAGCCAUUUCACAUCGGUUACAUGUGUCAACACUUUAUAAGCUACAUGUCUUCCUAUUUCUCUGUAUUUAUUAUGGUAUUGGUAUGUACUGUGUCCUACAACGUUCAUGCUAAAGUUGAAACUGUUCUACAGUGGUUGUGUACCCUCUUAUGCUUUGUUCAUUCAGCUGAGUCGAAUGGCUUCGUGUGAGAGCUGGAAGCUUGGCACAACAUGCUGAUGUGUUAUUAAUGCCAACACAGACUACUGUUUUAAACACUAGUUGAAGAAGGGUGACAAAACACUACCACAGUAAACAAGAGUAACAGUAGUUUUCCAUUGACCCAGGUUUAUUUGACAAAAGCAACGUUGCAACUUGUGUAGGGUAACGUGGGGUAACUAGCCCCCCCAAGAACAAUUGCUGGAACAAAAAAAGCAGCGUUUGCUAUUUAGAAAAAAAGAGUUAUGUGGAUGAUGGUAAUGGUUAACCAAACAAACUGUGAAGGAAAAUAAGUGGCUAGAGUUUACACGGUUUUAGUUAUUUAAUGAAAUGUUCAUAGAAAAGGGACGUUUUUCCAAAGUACCUGGAGUAGUUACCCCACGUUACCUUAAUGGAAACGGCAGAAUAAGGAUGCAUUUUCUAAAGACCACGCUUCUAUCAACAGUUUUUAUCAGGGUGUUGAAGAGGAGAGGAAUAAGCUCCUUGGUGAGCUGAUCAAGGGUUUUCGAGGAUCAGGGAGAGCCCCAAACAACCACAACAAGAAGACCAGAAUACAAAGAAAUUCAAUAAUAGACUGAUGAUACGACCUUCUACUCAUACUUUCCCAACUGCAACAACAACAACAACAACAACAACAACAAACUGGUAAACCUAGAACAUUGGAUCCCACAUUUUAUUAAGCUCUUGGGGUUUUCUGUGACCCAUAGAGCAAUCCUGAACCAAAUCAAUGUCUCUAGUCAGAAUCCAAUACUAGUAAGUGGCAACCCUAAAGCAGCCAGCCACGUCCCUCCUGUGGGCCCCGACCCACCGUUUGGGAACCACUGAGUUGGAGGAGAACAACAGCGUGAAGGAGAGGAUGGGUAACAAGAGCACCAGCCCCUCCAGAGACCCAGACACUGAGACGACACAGAGAGAGGAGAGAAACAACACGGGGACUGACUCAGGAAGUGGUCCCCCAGGCCCCAGCCCUGACCUGCUAGCCUCACUACAGUCAUUGGGAGAACACGAUGACCACACACUGCUGCCACAGUCUCUA